CGUUAAUUACAGAAGAAGCACCGGCUAACUCCGUGCCAGCAGCCGCGGUAAUACGGAGGGUGCGAGCGUUAAUCGGAAUAACUGGGCGUAAAGGGCACGCAGGCGGACUUUUAAGUGAGAUGUGAAAUCCCCGAGCUUAACUUGGGAACUGCAUUUCAGACUGGGAGUCUAGAGUACUUUAGGGAGGGGUAGAAUUCCACGUGUAGCGGUGAAAUGCGUAGAGAUGUGGAGGAAUACCGAAGGCGAAGGCAGCCCCUUGGGAAUGUACUGACGCUCAUGUGCGAAAGCGUGGGGAGCAAACAGGAUUAGAUACCCUGGUAGUCCACGCUGUAAACGCUGUCGAUUUGGGGAUUGGGCUAUAUGCUUGGUGCCCGAAGCUAACGUGAUAAAUCGACCGCCUGGGGAGUACGGCCGCAAGGUUAAAACUCAAAUGAAUUGACGGGGGCCCGCACAAGCGGUGGAGCAUGUGGUUUAAUUCGAUGCAACGCGAAGAACCUUACCUACUCUUGACAUCC
rnacentral:rRNA from 1 species